rnacentral:rRNA from 1 species
GCCCACCAUGAAGUUGGAGUUGCUAGUAAUCGCGGAUCAGCAUGCCACGGUGAAUACGUUCCCGGGCCUUGUACACACCGCCCGUCACACCAUGGGAGUUGGGAGCGCCCGAAGCCGGUGAGGUAACCGAGAGGAGCCAGCCGUCGAAGGUGAGACCAAUGACUGGGGUGAAGUCGUAACAAGGUAUC